GCGCGGCUGGCUCAGCAGGUAGAGCGAGUGACUCCUGAUCUCGGGGUUGGGGGUUCCAGCCCCACGCUGGGUC
rnacentral:tRNA from 1 species